rnacentral:rRNA from 1 species
AUGAACGCUAGCUACAGGCUUAACACAUGCAAGUCGAGGGGCAUCAGUUUGGUUUGCUUGCAAACCAAAGCUGGCGACCGGCGCACGGGUGAGUAACACGUAUCCAACCUGCCUCAUACUCGGGGAUAGCCUUUCGAAAGAAAGAUUAAUAUCCGAUAGCAUAUAUUUCCCGCAUGGGUUUUAUAUUAAAGAAAUUCGGUAUGAGAUGGGGAUGCGUUCCAUUAGUUUGUUGGGGGGGUAACGGCCCACCAAGACUACGAUGGAUAGGGGUUCUGAGAGGAAGGUCCCCCACAUUGGAACUGAGACACGGUCCAAACUCCUACGGGAGGCAGCAGUGAGGAAUAUUGGUCAAUGGACGCGAGUCUGAACCAGCCAAGUAGCGUGAAGGAUGACUGCCCUAUGGGUUGUAAACUUCUUUUAUAUGGGAAUAAAGUUGUCCACGUGUGGAUUUUUGUAUGUACCAUAUGAAUAAGGAUCGGCUAACUCCGUGCCAGCAGCCGCGGUAAUACGGAGGAUCCGAGCGUUAUCCGGAUUUAUUGGGUUUAAAGGGAGUGUAGGCGGAUUGUUAAGUCAGUUGUGAAAGUUUGCGGCUCAACCGUAAAAUUGCAGUUGAUACUGGCAGUCUUGAGUGCAGUAGAGGUGGGCGGAAUUCGUGGUGUAGCGGUGAAAUGCUUAGAUAUCACGAAGAACUCCGAUUGCGAAGGCAGCUCACUGGAGUGUAACUGACGCUGAUGCUCGAAAGUGUGGGUAUCAAACAGGAUUAGAUACCCUGGUAGUCCACACAGUAAACGAUGAAUACUCGCUGUUUGCGAUAUACAGUAAGCGGCCAAGCGAAAGCAUUAAGUAUUCCACCUGGGGAGUACGCCGGCAACGGUGAAACUCAAAGGAAUUGACGGGGGCCCGCACAAGCAGUGGAGUAUGUGGUUUAAUUCGAAGCAACGCGAAGAACCUUACCAGGUCUUGACAUCCGAUGCAUAACACAGAGAUGUGUGAAAUCCUUCGGGACAUCGAGACAGGUGGUGCAUGGUUGUCGUCAGCUCGUGCCGUGAGGUGUCGGCUUAAGUGCCAUAACGAGCGCAACCCUUAUCUUCGGUUACUAACAGGUCAUGCUGAGGACUCUGGAGAGACUGCCGUCGUAAGAUGUGAGGAAGGUGGGGAUGACGUCAAAUCAGCACGGCCCUUACGUCCGGGGCUACACACGUGUUACAAUGGGGGGUACAGAAGGCCGCUACCUGGUGACAGGAUGCCAAUCCCAAAAACCUCUCUCAGUUCGGAUCGAAGUCUGCAACCCGACUUCGUGAAGCUGGAUUCGCUAGUAAUCGCGCAUCAGCCAUGGCGCGGUGAAUACGUUCCCGGGCCUUGUACACACCGCCCGUCAAGCCAUGAAAGCCGGGGGUACCUGAAGUACGUAACCGCAAGGAGCGUCCUAGGGUAAAACUGGUAAUUGGGGCU